rnacentral:rRNA from 1 species
GACGAACCGUGCAAACGUUACUCGGAUUCACUGGGCUUAAAGGGCGCGUAGGCUGUCUGUUAAGUCGUGGGUGAAAUCUUUCGGCUCAACCGGAAAACUGCCCUCGAUACUGGCAGGCUAGAGGAAGGUAGGGGCAGCGGGAACUGCCAGUGGAGCGGUGAAAUGCGUUGAUAUUGGCAGGAACGCCGGUGGCGAAAGCGCG